GGGGGUGAUUAGUGAUAGAGUGAGGGAGCGGGUGACACAGUGACAGAGUUAGGGAGGGAGUGACUAGUGACAGAGAGAGGGAUGGGGUGACUAGUGACAGUCACCCCCUCCCUCCCUCUGUUACUAGUCACUCCCUCACUCUGUCACCAGUCAUCCCCUCACUCUGUCACCAGUCACCCCUUCCCUCCCUCACUCUGCCACUAGUCAUCUUUUCCCUUCCUCACUCUGCCACUAGUCACCCAUUCCCUAACUCUGUCACUAGUCACCCCC
rnacentral:sRNA from 1 species